AGGGAAGUCGGCAAGUUCGAUCGUAACUUCGAGAGAAAGAUUGGCUGUGAGGACUGGGCCCGUCGGGCUGGGGUCCAAAGCGGGUGUGGCACUGCACUGGGACUGGGCGAGACCCCCGUGAAAGGGGUCCGAUCCGGCCCAGACCAGCGUUAGGGCCUUCCCGUGGAAUGCCUCACUUGCGCGGUGCAUCGGGCACAAAGCUCGGAGCGACCGUUUAGGCGGGCAACUAACAGCCGACUCAGAACUGGCACUGACUUAGGGAAUCCGACUAAGUGGGUUAUUAGAUAAUAAUACAGAGUGUUUAUAAAGUCCC
rnacentral:ncRNA from 1 species